rnacentral:rRNA from 1 species
GAGAUCUCUAAGACCAACUAGGACGGUCAUCAGUAUACGAACAGAGUUUCUAAUUCGGUACGUACAGAUUCAUAUUCGUUAAAUAUGUCACUUUGACGCUUACCGAGUAAUUUAGUCAAUAGCAAAUAAACUAUCAUGGAAAUGAUGAACCUAUUGGCACCAUUAAGAUCUCGAUUAUGUACGAUUUUUAGGGCUGACAAACCUUCCCUACAUAAAUAAUCUAUUUUUUAGUUACGAGAAACUCGAGAAACUACUAAGUAUUAUUGAAAAGCUUAGCGUACCGGAACACGACCGCUACCAAGUAAGUUUAAAGACGGGAUAGUUGAAAGCUACCAUCCUAUCACCGGAUGGUACCAAAGUUGCCCAUUGCCCCUUAUUCCCAAGCUAAGGCCUCUCCCUCGGACUCUUUGCCGAUGGUGUAGGUUCCUUCCGUCGUCCGCGCGUUUAAUGGGUUAGGGCUGUGCCCCUCCAUCACUGUUAUGUAUUGCUAUGUCCCGGGAAAGCCCAGAACAUUAACCUUACUCAUGUUACAUUUAUGGAAUUGCUCCUUGUUAACCUCCCGUUCAGACCACGGCCGUCGGCGCCAUUAAGGUCGAGGUUAUCGCAUAUAAUUUCAACAACGUCAAUUUUUCGAGCAUCAACUUGAAACCCGAACCAACCGGCCAGGCGGAAAAACCGCUCAUGACCUGGGUUGGCUCGGAAAGGAAGACCGAUUGGUAAGCGGGAACACCACAAACCGCUUGGUCCUGAAAAUGAAACUUUUUUAAUCUCACAAGUUUCGUCCGGAAACGAGCUUAUAUAAUCGUACCUUAUUAUCUUAUCCUGCAAUACCAAGAUAAAACAACCAAAGAUCCUGGUAGCAUUACUAAUUAUCCCUGCCAGCCCCCGUAGUCAUAAGUCAACAGUCUCCACUUUAAGAAUCUAAAUGACUUCUGAUUGAUGACGCUUUCGUAAACGGUUCCUGCAAAAGUAAUUAGUUCUUGCUUUCAAUCCCCUAGCUUCUACUAGUCUAUGGCAGCAUCAGAAUUGGUAUUUGAUACGGCUGAUCCCUAGCCCACAACAAGAAAAAAACUGCGUGAGCCGUGGAAUGCUCUUUAGUUUCAGAAACCCAAGACCCCCCUCAUACCAGCGUUCCGACUUUGAAUUUCCUUAACUGCCUUC